rnacentral:lncRNA from 1 species
CAUUUUAAACCGUAUUUAAUACCAAAACUGAUAAAAAAAUGAGUUAGAUAACUUAUAUAUACAAACUAAAGCACAAUACAACAGAAAUAUGUGCCGUGAAUAACUUUUAAAGUUUGAAAAAUAACAAUUUAUAUUAUCCUGGAAUUUAGCUGUCAGUAUAAAAUUAAACGUGCGCGCUAGACUAUAACGGUGAUGUUAUGAUUUUGUUUGUGCUUAAAUUUUGCAAUAAUUCUCACUAAAAUAUCUUGAAAUCAUUCUAAGCCUGUUUAUAUAAAGCAUACAAAACAUAUACAUCGACAAGGAACCGCAAAACUAAAAGUUUAAACUUCGUGACCCAAUAACAUAAAAACCUUGGUCGCGUAAUUUUGAAAACGUGUAAUCAAUUUCAAACAAUCUCAAAACAACUUGAAGAUAAAUUUCAACACAUUACAACAUAUGACACAAAUAUUUUCAAUUUAUGUUGCUUAGCUAGUGGGGCAGCACAUUGUCAUGCAUACUCAUAUGAUCUUCAAGUUCAGUGGCAACUUCAAACUGGGCAUCGCAGGCACAACAGAUAUAACCAAUACCAGUUGCUUCUCUUGCUUCUAAUUCCUUACAGACAUCACAUUGGUAGGACAUACCAUGAUCUUUGGCCUUGUGCUGAUAUAAACUUUCAACAUCAGGGAACUGUUUGUUGCAUUUGUCACAGUAAAAAUGAUCAUCACUCUUCUGUAUCUCAUUAGCAUGUGCUUGACCUUGAAUAAUUUCUCUGCCACAGGUGUGGCACAAUAAUAAGCCAUCUCUCAAGUGUGACCUCCAAUGACGUUUGAGAAUUUGUCGUUGUGUGAAUGUUUUCUUGCAGAUACCGCACUGAAAACUCUGAUUUCUCUUGUGUGCUGAUGUUUUAUGUCGUGUUAAUUUGUGCGAUUCUGAAAAUCUCUUGUUGCAAAUGUCACAUUGGUAAGGUUUGUCUCCAGUGUGUGUUUGUUUAUGCAUAGUUAAGUGGCUCAAGCAUGAAAAUCUCUUCUUACAAAUAUCACAUUCAUGAGGUUUGUCUCCAGUAUGUGUUCUUUUAUGUCUGACUAAGUGGCCUGACUGCGAAAAUCUUUUGUUGCAAACAUCACAUUCAUAAGGUUUGCCUCCAGUGUGCAUUCUCUUAUGUUUAGUUAGGGUGCAUGGGUCAGAAAAUCUUUUGUUGCAAACAUCUCAUUCAUAAGGUUUGCCUCCAGUGUGCAUUCUCUUAUGUUUAGUUAGGGUGCUUGGGUCAGAAAAUCUUUUGUUGCAAACAUCGCAUUCAUAAGGUUUGUCUCCAGUGUGUGUUCUCUUAUGUUUAGUUAGGGAGCUUGGGUCAGAAAAUCUUUUGUUGCAAACAUCACAUUCAUAAGGUUUCUCUCCAGUGUGUGUUCUCUUAUGUUUAGUUAGGGAGCUUGGGUCAGAAAAUCUUUUGUUGCAAACAUCACAUUCAUAAGGUUUGUCUCCAGUGUGUGUUCUCUUAUGUUUAGUUAGGGAGCUUGGGUCAGAAAAUCUUUUGUUGCAAACAUCGCAUUCAUAAGGUUUGUCUCCAGUGUGUGUUCCCUUAUGUUUAGUCAGGUUGCCUGAGUGGAGAAAUCUUUUGUUGCAAACAUCACAUUCAUAAGGUUUGUCUCCAGUGUGUGUUCUCUUAUGUUUAGUUAGGUUGGCUGGGUUGGAAAAUCUUUUGUUGCAAACAUCACAUUCGUAAGGUUUCUCUCCAGUGUGUGUUCGUUUGGGCAUGUACUAAAAGGCGAAACGUCGAAACGAAACGACCGAAACGAAACGGCCGAAACCAUCGAAACCACCGAAACGACCGAAACGAAACGACCGAAACGAAACAACCGAAACGAAACGACCGAAACGAAACAACCGAAACGAAACGACCGAAACGAAACGGCCGAAAAUGUAAAUUACAGGAAAAUUGAAAAAUGCGGAUACGGACGGACGGGGGGG